rnacentral:misc_RNA from 1 species
GUUGAGGCCGCGGAUAAUACUCGAAUUCAGUAGGGUCACCAUCCACUGAAACACUCACAAUCCCAAGAUUCUCCGCGUGCAACCCAACUAUGCCAAUAUCAGGAACCGCAAUUUCCAACUCGGUGAACCCAUAAACGCGACGUUUGUCAAUGUCGAUGGAAAGGCAAAGCUUCUGGUGACGAACUACAGCUCCGGAGUUGUCAGGUGGCUUCGCGUCGUCGGUGUUCUUGGGCUUGCGAGGCUUGGCCAUAGCAAGCACAUAGCCUGAGCGGGGGAG